rnacentral:rRNA from 1 species
GACGAACGCUGGCGGCGUGCUUAACACAUGCAAGUCGAGCGGGGUCCAUCUUGUCGCAAGACAAGGGAAGACCUAGCGGCGAACGGGUGAGUAACACGUGAGCAACCUGCCCCGAAGACUGGGAUAACACCGGGAAACCGGUGCUAAUACCGGAUACCCUCAAUGAGUCGCAUGGCUCGAUGAGGAAAUGGAUUCCGCUUCGGGAGGGGCUCGCGGCCUAUCAGCUUGUUGGGGGGUAACGGCCUACCAAGGCUCCGACGGGUAGCUGGUCUGAGAGGACGACCAGCCACACUGGGACUGAGACACGGCCCAGACUCCUACGGGAGGCAGCAGUGGGGAAUCUUGCGCAAUGGGCGAAAGCCUGACGCAGCAACGCCGCGU